CUUUGCCUGGGAUUAUUAGAUUUUUUUGUAUUAGACUCGCCUUCAUGCCGUCUGUCAUCGGAGUAGUGGCCGUCAUUCUAUUCAUUCUCUACGUCGUAUUGCCCUUAAUAUUUCGGUAUUCUCCGGCUUUCCAGAGACAACUUGUGUUCUUGCCCUACACCAUUGGUUUACGAUGGCCGAUCGCAGUGAAUUACAGCCAACCUGAGCUACACGGAUUGAGUGGGACGAGGAAUUUUUACAUGCCCACAGAGCCGAAAAUAUCCGUGGGUGUUUGGCACAUUCUACCGGGAAACUUGACUGACAAAUCUUUCAAAACCACCGAAGAGAGUUUAGCUUGCGGAAAUCCGGUCGUACUUUACUUGCACGGUAAUUCCGGCUCAAGAGCCACUGGCCAUCGUGUGGAACUCUACAAACUUCUCAAAUCUCUUAAUUAUCACGUGAUAUCUUUUGAUUACCGAGGAUUCGCAGAUUCGUCCAAUGUCGUAAUGUCAGAAAACGGAGCCGUCACGGACGCCACUCGAGUUUACCAAUACAUUCGCAAAUUCUCCGGGAAAUCAAAAGUGAUUGUGUGGGGCCAUUCGCUCGGUACCGCAGUGGGCACCAAGAUGGUAGCCCAAUUGUGCGCAGUCAACCAGCCACCUGACGGUUUGAUUUUAGAAUCGCCGUUCAACAAUAUCAGCGACGUGUUUCGAAAUCACCCGCUAACUCUCCUCUAUCGGCCAUUGUCCGUCGUCGACCGGUUUUUCACCGAGAGGCUGCAAAGUAACAACGUGGCGUUUGACAGCGACGUUCACAUCGCCGGCGUCGAGUGCCCCACCCUUAUCCUCCAUGCAAGGGAUGAUCCUAUUGUGCCCGUUUUCCUAACCAAAAAGGUAUGCGCUGGAACAUUCCACCGCUCUACGAGGCGGGGCUGAAAUCCCGGCCUGCUGAAUGGUCUCCAUUACAGAUGGUCGAAUUCCACGAGGACCUGAACUGCGCCCAUGAAUACAUUUGCCGAGUUCCUCAAUUGCCUUCCAUUAUAGAGGAGUUUCUCGCCGGAUGAAUAUAAAGGAUUUGUUCGUAUAGGCCUAUAAUAAUCAGAGUAUUAUGUGUGUGUGUGCACAAAACACAACAUUUUUUCUUCUUUUCGUCAUCUUCUCUCGUGACAUUUUUUUUUUUCUUCUUCGUUUCCCAAAAUAUUUCUUCUGCAUGGCUGAACCCGCGUCACCAUAAAACCUGUAAUUCGACCUGUCCUUCCAGGAUUUUCUACCCUUCCCCCCUUUCCUUUCCCUAUAGAUAUAGUCACUCAACUGGCAAUGGGCAUACGAUAGGGGUAAAGAAAAGAGUUGAACCCUUUUUUUUUCUUUGAACAAACUAAAAUAAAAAAAUAGAAAAUUCUAAAAUUAAAUGCGGCUGUGUGUCACCCCCUUUUUUUGUUUGUCCACUGGCUUUUUGUCAUCGAAUAUAGUCUGGAACUAAAUUUAAAAUAAAAAACAAAU